UACGUAGGCAGCAAGCGUUGUCCGGAAUCAUUGGGCGUAAAGAGCGUGUAGGCGGCCACUUAAGUCCUGCGUGAAAUCUUGCGGCUCAACCGCAAGCGGUCGUGGGAAACUGGGUGGCUAGAGUGCGGGAGAGGAGAGUGGAAUUCCUGGUGUAGCGGUGGAAUGCGCAGAUAUCAGGAAGAACACCCGUGGCGAAGGCGGCUCUCUGGAACGCAACUGACGCUGAGACGCGAAAGCGUGGGGAGCAAACAGG
rnacentral:rRNA from 1 species